rnacentral:rRNA from 1 species
UAACACGUAAAGAACCUACCUUAUAGACAGGGACAACUAUUGGAAACGAUAGCUAAUACCUGAUAAGAAAGAAACUCGCAUGAGAGAAGUUCGAAAGUCGGAGCAAUCUGACACUAUAAGAUGGCUUUGCGGUGCAUUAGCUAGUUGGUAGGGUAAAAGCCUACCAAGGCGACGAUGCAUAGCCGACCUGAGAGGGUGAUCGGCCACAUUGGGACUGAGACACGGUCCAAACUCCUACGGGAGGCAGCAGCC